rnacentral:rRNA from 1 species
AACGAACGCUGGCGGCAUGCCUAACACAUGCAAGUCGAACGAGACCUUCGGGUCUAGUGGCGCACGGGUGCGUAACGCGUGGGAACCUGCCCUUAGGUUCGGAAUAACUCUCCGACAGGGGUGCUAAUACCGGAUAAUGUCUUCGGACCAAAGAUUUAUCGCGUUUGGAUGGGCCCGCGUUGUAUUAGCUUGUUGGUAGGGUAAAAGCCUACCAAGGCGACGAUCCAUAGCUGGUUUGAGAGAAUGAUCAGCCACACUGGGACUGAGACACGGCCCAGACUCCUACGGGAGGCAGCAGUGGGGAAUAUUGGACAAUGGGCGAAAGCCUGAUCCAGCAAUGCCGCGUGAGUGAUGAAGGCCUUAGAGUUGUAAAGCUCUUUUACCCGGGAUGAUAAUGACAGUACCGGAAGAAUAAGCUCCGGCUAACUCCGUG